rnacentral:snRNA from 1 species
GAAUACUCAGGCGAUCUGGCUGCGACAUCUGUCACCCCAUUGAUCGCCAGGGUUGAUUCAGCUGAUCUGGCUGGCUAGGCGGGUGUCCCCUUCCUCCCUCACCGCUCCAUGUGCGUCCCUCCCGAAGCUGUGCGCUCGGUGGAAGAGGACGACCAUCCCCGAUAGAGGAGAGGACCGUUCUUCGGUCAAGGGUAUAUGAGUAGCUGCGCUCCCCUGCUAGAACCUCCAAACAAGCUCUCAAGAAUACUCUACCUAGCAAGGUUAUUACUGAGAUUUGAAGGAGAGAUAAAAAGUUUCCCAGACAAGCAAAAGUUAAAGGAGUUCAUCACCACCAAAUAUAUGAGAAAUGUUAAAGGACUUCUUU